UGAACAUAGCUGAGCUUGUGUCCUUGUGGUAAGAUUGAGGGGGGAAAAAGAUCAACUUUAAAUGAUCUGCAUUAUUUUUUAAUUAUUUUUCAACUUUUCUCAGUUUGUAGUGUUCCAUGGUACAUCAAGGCAAAAAGAAAUAACUCCUACUAACAGUUAUUAUUUUGGCCCGAAACAUUAGAAAGGAGAGGAAGGGGCCAGCCAUCCACCUGAGCGAUGUGUGAAUGAUGUGGAAUAGUCCACAAUGUAUUCUAAGCACACUUAACUCAUGACUGACUGAGGCCUGAGGAAUCCAAUGGGGUAGCAGCUGGUCUAUCAGCCUGGGCACUUUCUUCAAGGAGAGAGUGCAAUGAAAGCAGAACAGGAAUUGCUACAUCCAUGGUCUACGCGUGGACCACAUGGGAUAGAGACAGUGGGUUCAUUUUUAAAAAGAGACUCCCAGAGAACUUUUUGACAAGGAGACAGUGGAAGGUGAGACCUGGAUGGAGAUAUCAUUGGGAG